ensembl:lncRNA
CGAGACCUCAAACAGAAGUUCCUUGUCUCUGAGUCCACUGUCCUACAUCCUGGCCAACCAGCUGCAGAAAUACAAGUCUGGAGCGUGCAAAGACAUCAUUGAAUCGGUGCUGGGGGAGAAGCUGCAGUUCCAGGAGGGGAAGCCCACAGAGAAGUCAACGUUAGCGGAGAAGCUCAAGAAAUACGAUGUCCUAAUCCAAGAUCAGGCUCAAGAGCUGGCCCAGUUACAGCAAACGAUAGAGAAAGGCAGAGAAGUCUCUGUGCUCCUCAAGCAGCACCUCAGGAACCUUCUCACCCACGAUGACCCUACCAACUUCCAGGGUCAGGGCUUUCAAGAACGACUGGCUGAGGGCUGCAGGCUGGUGAAGCGCCUUGCCCAAAAGCUCAGCCCAGAAAAUCAUGCAGAGGAGGAGAACAAAGAAGAAAAAGCAUCAAUGGACCCCAGGCUGAGCACAGAGCUACAGGAAAAAGAGAGUGUGAAUGAAGCCCUGAAGGGGUCAGUGGAUGAAGGCCCUGUGACUUCAUCCAGUCACCAGUACCCGACUGGUUCCCACGAGCCUACCAGCAACCAUGUUUUCUUGUCUGAGGAGCACGAAGACUUCUCUGCUCUGGUUGCAGCUACUGAGUACUCCCAUCAACAGGAGAAGAAAGCUCCAACAGGUCUCCCAGGUAGUGUCCAUAUUCAUGUUCCCCACGUCCCUGUCCGGGUCAAGAUAUGCCAUCUCUUCAGUCUGGCCCUGGAGACGUAACUUGGUUUGAAUCAGAAUCUAGGACUCAGUUUUAAGCACACACAUCAGGUGGGUCAGGUAGUUCAACACUCUUCCGAGUCCCAGGCCAAAUCUCUGUCAUCCCCGUUGCCAUGCCCGCUCCACUGCAAACAGCAGUCUCUGUCUCCUCUAAGUUGGUUUAUCCUCAGUAGGGAGCCAUCUAAGCGUCAAAAGAUAAACACCUCUUGAAUGUGUCUGGAAGUUUACCACCCAGGGCGUGGUGUGAACCCUGGCACCCUCCACCACUUUGAACAGCAAGAAUCCUGUUCUCCAGGUGGCACCAUAGAUUCUUUCCUCUUUAGGAGUGAUUAAAUUCCAUCCAUCAGUCUAGUCUCGGUGUAUAACUUCCUCCAAACCAACAGCAGCCAGCAUAUCUGAUGGAACAAGAGCUGAAUCUUGCCACAGCCUUUCCAGAAAGCAACUAGAUGAGCUCCUCAUGACCUCGGGAAGAAUAUGUUGAACUCUUUGCCCAGGUUCAGGGAAGAGAACUUUGUUGUAUUGAUCUGCCAAUUCAGAGACAGUCUGCCCUAUGACUCAGGAAAGGAAGCCUCGUCCCUUUUCAGAAGACACAACCCGAGGCCUCCUGGAAUAUUCUGAGACUAUCCUGUUCUCACGCUGAGAAGACUUAUGUCCCUGUGUUUAAACAGGCCCCUGGGUUGGUAAUGUGUCAAGAAGCAACUUUUUAUGAUGACUGGCCCUGUCCAAAUUUAUUUGCAGAAACUCAAAAAGAUCAGAAGGAUGAGGAAAGAGAUGAGCCAACAGCCCCCAGCUGGGAGCUGCAGGAGGAGGAGGAAAUGGAUGAUGCGUGUCAGGAUUCUUUGGAUGAAAAGUAUUUGGCUCUUUCCAGUCACCAUGACUUGUCUGACUCCUGCCACCCUCCCGACAGUCCCACCAUCCCAUCUGAUGAGCAUGAAAUCUGCUCUCGUCUGGAUGGAGCCCAAAACCACGAAGAGGAGGCUGAAGAACAACUGGGAUCACUGACCCCCAGGAAAUACCAUUUCCUCAUUCAUGAUCAUGCACGAAAGCUGACCCAGAUACGCCAGACGUCACGGGAAGGAAGAGAGCUCUCUGUCCUCCUCCAUCAGGACCUCAGGGACCUCCUCACCCACAGUGACAUUGGCAGAGACUGGGGACAGGGCUUCCAAGAACAACUGGCUGAGGGAUCCAGGCUGGCAGAGCACCUUGUCCGCAAGCUUAGCCCAGAAAACCUGGAAGACGAUGACGAGGAGGAA